AUUCACCUCACAGCAGAAGUGAAAGCAGUUAAAAGUAAGAGAAUACAGAAGCAGGCUUUCAGUGGAAACAGCGGCUUGGCAGCUGAAAAGGAAGUGGUCUGUUAGACCCUAACAUCAUCACCUUCAGGGACACGAAAAUAGAUACAAGAUGAGGUCUCACUGGAUUACAUCGAUUCUUACUGAACUGAUCACAUCUGGGUUCUGGAUGCUGCUUGUUCCUGCUGCUGAGGUCCAACACGUCCAGCUGGGUUCAACAGCCAGCGUGGGCUGUAACCUCUCCUAUCUUUAUGACACAACGUGGCUUAAGCAUCACCCAGAUAAACCUCCCACCAUGAUCUUCUCUGCCAGCCUCAAAGAGGGACGACCCAUCCAAGGGUUUCAGCUCAACAGUCGUUAUACAGUGAAUUUGGUGAACCGCUCUCUGGCACUGAUGAUCUCCAGUAUCGAGGACAGAGACCUGGGGCUGUACUACUGUAUUUCCUACGUAAACUCAGACUUAAAAAUUGGGGAAGGAACCAAGCUUCAGGUUUCAGGUUUAUCUCGGUUUCUUUUUAAUCACUGGUACUGCAUGAUCACGGGUUUCAUCCUCAUGAUUAUGGUACUGGCUGUUUGUGUCACCCACUGGAAAGCUCGGGCGAAGGAGAAGAAGAAGAAGACCGCCAUCCGGACCAGAUCCUGACAUCACCCGUAAAUAUAUGACAAAUAGUAGUAAUACUUCAACUCCGACACCAACUACACUUUCACAGCUGAUAGUUUAUGCCCACUAUUACAUGGAUUCAAUGUAUUAAUGUUGCAUUUGUAUAUAUACAACCUGUGUGUGUAUGUCUGGGUUUUUAUUUUGUGUAUAAAGUGUAGAUUCUUUGUUUUUCUUCCACUUCUUAUUUAUGGCAUUCUUAUGUUGGGUUGCUAAAUGCACUGUAUUUUUUCCUUCAAGUAGUUAAAAUGAU